rnacentral:rRNA from 1 species
CCUACGGGUGGCAGCAGUCGAGAAUCAUUCACAAUGGGGGAAACCCUGAUGGUGCGACGCCGCGUGGGGGAAUGAAGGUCUUCGGAUUGUAAACCCCUGUCAUGUGGGAGCAAAUUAAAAAGAUAGUACCACAAGAGGAAGAGACGGCUAACUCUGUGCCAGCAGCCGCGGUAAUACAGAGGUCUCAAGCGGUGUUCGGAAUCACUGGGCGUAAAGCGUGCGUAGGCUGUUUCGUAAGUCGUGUGUGAAAGGCGCGGGCUCAACCCGCGGACGGCACAUGAUCCUGGGAGACUAGAGUAAGGGAGGGGGAACUGGAAUUCUCGGUGUAGCAGUGAAAUGCGUAGAUAUCGAGAGGAACACUCGUGGCGAAGGCGGGUUCCUGGACAUUAACUGACGCUGAGGCACGAAGGCCAGGGGAGCGAAAGGGAUUAGAUACCCCAGUAGUC